CACGUAGGCGGUUCUGUGAGUGGAGUGUGAAAGACCCUGGCUCAACCAGGGGCCCGCAUUCCAUACUGCAGAGCUGGAGGUCGCGAGGGGUGAGCGGAACUCUUGGUGGAGCGGUGAAAUGCGUAGAUAUCAAGAGGAACACCGGUGGCGAAGGCGGCUCACUGGCGCGAUUCUGACGCUGAGGUGCGAAAGCCAGGGUAGCGAAC
rnacentral:rRNA from 1 species